rnacentral:tRNA from 1 species
GCGAGGGUGGCGGAACUGGCAUACGCGCUAGAUUUAGGAUCUAGUCCCUUUACAGGGAUGCGGGUUCAACUCCCGCCUCUCGCA